rnacentral:rRNA from 1 species
UCAGCUCGUGUCGUGAGAUGUUGGGUUAAGUCCCGCAACGAGCGCAACCCUUGUCAUUAGUUGCUACAUUCAGUUGGGCACUCUAAUGAGACUGCCGGUGACAAACCGGAGGAAGGUGGGGAUGACGUCAAGUCCUCAUGGCCCUUAUAGGUGGGGCUACACACGUCAUACAAUGGCUGGUACAGAGGGUUGCCAACCCGCGAGGGGGAGCCAAUCCCAUAAAGCCAGUCGUAGUCCGGAUCGCAGUCUGCAACUCGACUGCGUGAAGUCGGAAUCGCUAGUAAUCGCGGAUCAGAAUGUCGCGGUGAAUACGUUCCCGGGUCUUGUACACACCGCCCGUCACACCAUGGGAGCGGGUUCUGCCAGAAGUAGUUAGCCUAACCGCAAGGAGG